AUUGAACGCUGGCGGCAGGCCUAACACAUGCAAGUCGAGCGGAUGAAGGGAGCUUGCUCCUGGAUUCAGCGGCGGACGGGUGAGUAAUGCCUAGGAAUCUGCCUGGUAGUGGGGGAUAACGUCCGGAAACGGGCGCUAAUACCGCAUACGUCCUGAGGGAGAAAGAGGGGGAUCUUCGGACCUCACGCUAUCAGAUGAGCCUAGGUCGGAUUAGCUAGUUGGUGGGGUAAAGGCCUACCAAGGCGACGAUCCGUAACUGGUCUGAGAGGAUGAUCAGUCACACUGGAGCUGAGACACGGUCCAGACUCCUACGGGAGGCAGCAGUGGGGAAUAUUGGACAGUGGGCGAAAGCCUGAUCCAGCCAGGCCGCGUGUGUGGAGAAGGUCUUCGGAUUGUAAAGCACUUUAAGUUGGGAGGAAGGGCAGUAAGUUAAUACCUUGCUGUUUUGACGUUACCAACAGAAUAAGCACCGGCUAACUUCGUG
rnacentral:rRNA from 1 species